GGGGUUGUGGCUCAGUAGUAGAGUGCUUGCCUAGCAUGCAUGAGGCACUGGGUUCGAUCCUCAGCACCA
rnacentral:tRNA from 1 species